rnacentral:snoRNA from 1 species
AAUCCGUGAUGUGGGCAUUUGAAUCAGUGUCUUAAAACGCUCUCAAGCUUUGUGGAAACUUUCUCCUUCUAAUUGCUAAAAUGUAGCAAUCUCUCUCCUUAGCU